AUAGAUCAUAAAUGCUGGAAUGCUUUAUGAUUGAAAGGUUUCGACCGCCUUAGGAUGGAUCUGCGGCCUAUCAGGUUGUAGUGGGUGUAAUGUACCUACUAGCCUACGACGGGUACGGGUUGUGGAAGCAAGAGCCCGGAGAUGGAUUCUGAGACAUGAAUCCAGGCCCUACGGGGCGCAGCAGGCGCGAAAACUUUACAAUGCGGGAAACCGUGAUAAGGGAACACUGAGUGCUAGCAUUUAUGUUAGCUGUCCACAUGUGUAAAUAGCAUGUGAUAGCAAGGGCUGGGCAAGACCGGUGCCAGCCGCCGCGGUAACACCGGCAGCCCGAGUGGUGAUCACUAUUAUUGGGUCUAAAGGGUCCGUAGCCGGUUUAAUCAGUCUUCUGGGAAAUCUAAUCGCUUAACUAUUAGGCUUCCAGGGGAUACUGUUAGACUUGGGACCGGGAGA
rnacentral:rRNA from 1 species